rnacentral:rRNA from 1 species
UACGUAGGUGGCAAGCGUUGUCCGGAUUUACUGGGCGUAAAGAGCGCGCAGGCGGUCGUUCAAGUCGCGUGUGAAAGCCCCCGGCUCAACUGGGGAGGGUCACGCGAUACUGAUCGACUCGAAGGCAGGAGAGGGUAGUGGAAUUCCCGGUGUAGUGGUGAAAUGCGUAGAUAUCGGAGGAACACCAGUGGCGAAGGCGACUACCUGGCCUGUUCUGACGCUGAGCGCGAAGCUAGGGAGCAACGGGAU